rnacentral:rRNA from 1 species
UACGUAGGGGGCAAGCGUUGUCCGGAUUUAUUGGGCGUAAAGAGCGUGUAGGCGGCUUGGUAGGUCCGCUGUGAAAACUCGAGGCUCAACCUCGAGAUGUCGGCGGAAACCACUUGGCUAGAGUCCGGAAGAGGAGAAUGGAAUUCCCGGUGUAGCGGUGAAAUGCGCAGAUAUCGGGAAGAACACCCGUGGCGAAGGCGGUUCUCUGGGACGGUACUGACGCUGAGACGCGAAAGCGUGGGGAGCGAACAGG